CGGACGGGUGAGUAACGCGUGAGAAUCUGCCCUCAGGAGGGGGAUAACAGCUGGAAACGGCUGCUAAUACCCCAUAUGCCGAAAGGUGAAAUGAUUUUCGCCUGAGGAUGAGCUCGCGUCUGAUUAGCUAGUUGGUGGGGUAAUGGCCUACCAAGGCUUCGAUCAGUAGCUGGUCUGAGAGGACGAUCAGCCACACUGGGACUGAGACACGGCCCAGACUCCUACGGGAGGCAGCAGUAGGGAAUUUUCCGCAAUGGGCGAAAGCCUGACGGAGCAACGCCGCGUGAGGGACUAAGGCCUUUGGGCUGUAAACCUCUUUUCUCAAGGAAGAAGAUCUGACGGUACUUGAGGAAUAAGCCACGGCUAAUUCCGUGCCAGCAGCCGCGGUAAUACGGGAGUGGCAAGCGUUAUCCGGAAUUAUUGGGCGUAAAGCGUCCGCAGGCGGCCGUUUAAGUCUGUUGUUAAAUCGUGGAGCUCAACUCCAUCACGGCAAUGGAAACUGUUCGGCUUGAGUAUGGUAGGGGCAGAGGGAAUUUCCGGUGUAGCGGUGAAAUGCGUAGAUAUCGGGAAGAACACCAGUGGCAAAAGCGCUCUGCUGGGCCAUUACUGACGCUCAUGGACGAAAGCCAGGGGAGCGAAAGGGAUUAGAUACCCCAGUAGUC
rnacentral:rRNA from 1 species